rnacentral:rRNA from 1 species
GACGAACGCUGGCGGCGUGCUUAACACAUGCAAGUCGAACGGUGAAGCGCCUUCCUUUUUGGUGGGUGUGGAUGAGUGGCGAACGGGUGAGUAACACGUGAGUAACCUGCCCCCUUCUUCUGGAUAACCGCAUGAAAGUGUGGCUAAUACGGGAUAUUCUGGGUCUGUCGCAUGAUGGGUCUGGGAAAGAUAUUGUUUCGGUGGGGGAUGGGCUCGCGGCCUAUCGGCUUGUUGGUGGGGUGAUGGCCUACCAAGGCGGUGACGGGUAGCCGGCCUGGGAGGGUGGCCGGCCACACUGGGGCUGCGACACGGCCCAGACUCCUACGGGAGGCAGCAGUGGGGGAUAGUGCACAGUGGGCGAAAGGCUGAUGCAGCGGCGCCGCGUGAGGGAUGGAGGCCUGCGGGUUGUGAACCUCUUUCGCCAGUGAAGCAGGCCUGCCUCGUUUGUGGGUGGGUUGACGGUAGCUGGAUAAGAAGCGCCGGCUAACUACGUG